GUCUAUGGCCACCCACCCUGAACAAGCCCAAUCCCUUCUGAUCUCGGAAGCUGAGCAGGGUCGGGCCUGGUUAGUACUUGGAUGAGAGACCACCUGGGAAGACCAGGCACUGCAGGCA
rnacentral:rRNA from 1 species